UACAGAGGGGGCGAGCGUUGUUCGGAAUUACUGGGCGUAAAGGGCGCGUAGGCGGCCUGCUAAGUCGAACGUGAAAUCCCCGGGCUCAACCCGGGAACUGCGUCCGAUACUGGCGGGGUUGAAUUCGGGAGAGGGAUGCGGAAUUCCAGGUGUAGCGGUGAAAUGCGUAGAUAUCUGGAGGAACACCGGUGGCGAAGGCGGCAUCCUGGACCGGCAUUGGCGCUGAGGCGCGACAGCCAGGGGAGCAAACGGG
rnacentral:rRNA from 1 species